CUCCACCUAGCGCAUCUUGGCGGAAAAAAGGGAAUAUGCAAGUUUCUGCCGGCGACCCGCCGCCCACUCUCGCGAGAGUCUCGGGUCUCUCGAAGUACCGAAUUGCUUUACGGUACUAGUACAGACCCAACACGGAACCGGAUCGAUAUAAACGAAAGUAGCGCAGGGUUUGUUACAUUCAUCAUGGAUCAGCCGACUAAAAUGAGACAGAAAAUCCCUAUGUCGGAGAAACCACAAGAGAAAAGGGAGACCGAUAGAGAGGCCAGACACGAGUAAACGUUGGGCGAGCUUUUCAGGAAUAGCGUGAACUGAAAGAAAAAGACUGCAAAUCAGAUGCCGACUUGCCAUGGCCGUGUUGCUCUUGAAAUUGGGUGUUCGCGUACUCGCUACCAACACCUUCGUUUCCAUGGUUGUUUUGCUGUUCGUCUGUCUCGUCCCCCAGAUAAAGGCUAAAUCCCCGAAUCCAGUUACAAGCGUUGGCAAACAGCAUUGCUAUGACGCUUGAUGACCCAAGACGGCUCGGCCUGCCUGCCCCGGUACAGCCAACACCCAAAUCCGAACUUGUGCGGGUACAAAUGUGACGAGGAAAUCUAGAGAACCCUCAAGAAGAUGUUACACAAUAGCCGUAAGGCAAGAAACAAACUGUCACUUUAAUGCAUUUCUUUCAAUAUCCAAAAUAAAUAUUUUUCUAAACAAAGUGUUUAUUAUUGAACCAAUGAUAGAAAGGUGGUGCAAACAUCUGUUAUUUCAAAAAAAUUGAAACAUUUUAAAACCAUAUACAAUAAUAUUUAUUAACAAUGUUUAUUUGCAAGCAUUUACACGUAAAAAUAAAUGCGUCCCUA
ensembl:lncRNA